UACGUAGGGUGCGAGCGUUAAUCGGAAUUACUGGGCGUAAAGCGUGCGCAGGCGGUUUGCUAAGACCGAUGUGAAAUCCCCGGGCUUAACCUGGGAACUGCAUUGGUGACUGGCAGGCUAGAGUAUGGCAGAGGGGGGUAGAAUUCCACGUGUAGCAGUGAAAUGCGUAGAGAUGUGGAGGAAUACCGAUGGCGAAGGCAGCCCCCUGGGCCCAAUACUGACGCUCAUGCACGAAAGCGUGGGGAGCA
rnacentral:rRNA from 1 species